UACGGGGGGCGCAAGCGUUGUCCGGAAUUACUGGGCGUAAAGGGCUCGUAGGCGGCCAACUAAGUCAGACGUGAAAUCCCCAGGCUCAACUUGGGAACUGCGUCUGAUACUGGAUGGCUUGAAUUCGGGAGAGGGAUGCAGAAUUCCAGGUGUAGCGGUGAAAUGCGUAGAUAUCUGGAGGAAUACCGGUGGCGAAGGCGGCAUCCUGGACCGAGAUUGACACUGAUGAGCGAAAGCUAGGGGAGCAAGCGGG
rnacentral:rRNA from 1 species